CCUACGGGAGGCUGCAGUGGGGGAUAUUGCACAAUGGGGGAAACCCUGAUGCAGCGACGCCGCGUGGGUGAAGAAGCAUUUCGGUAUGUAAAGUCCUAUCAGCAGGGAAGAAAGAUGAUGGUACCUGACUAAGAAGGCCCGGCUUACUACGUGCCAGCAGCCGCGGGAAUACGUAGGGGGCGAGCGUUACCCGGAUUCACUGGGUGUAAGGGGAGUGUAGACGGCCGUGCAAGCCAGGAGUGAAAGCCCGGGGCCCAAGCCCUGGACUGCUCUUGACACUGUGCGGCUAGAGUGCGGGAGCGGCAGGCGGAAUGCCUGGUGGAGCGGUGAAAUGCGUAGAUAUCAGGAGGAACACCGGCGGCGAAGGCGGCCUGCUGGACCGCGACUGACGUUGAGGCACGAAAGCGUGGGUAGCAAACAGGAUUAGAUACCCGUGUAGUC
rnacentral:rRNA from 1 species